rnacentral:tRNA from 1 species
GGAUCCUUAGCUCAGUAGGUUAGAGCAUCCGGCUCAUAACCGGACGGUCUUGGGUUCGAGUCCCAAAGGAUCCA